rnacentral:rRNA from 1 species
GACGUAGGGCGCGGGCGUUGUCCGGAUUUAUUGGGCGUAAAGAGCUCGUAGGCGGCUUGUCGCGUCGACCGUGAAAACUUGGGGCUCAACCCCAAGCCUGCGGUCGAUACGGGCAGGCUCGAGUUCGGUAGGGGAGACUGGAAUUCCUGGUGUAGCGGUGAAAUGCGCAGAUAUCAGGAGGAACACCGGUGGCGAAGGCGGGUCUCUGGGCCGAUACUGACGCUGAGGAGCGAAGGCGUGGGGAGCGAACAGG